GCAUAUCAAUAAGCGGAGGAAAAGAAACCAACAGGGAUUGCCCCAGUAACGGCGAGUGAAGCGGCAAGAGCUCAAAUUUGAAAGCUGGCUCCUUCGGGGUCCGCAUUGUAAUUUGCAGAGGAUGCUUCGGGAGCGGCCCCCAUCUAAGUGCCCUGGAACGGGCCGUCAUAGAGGGUGAGAAUCCCGUAUGGGAUGGGGUGCCCGCGCCCGUGUGAAGCUCCUUCGACGAGUCGAGUUGUUUGGGAAUGCAGCUCUAAAUGGGUGGUAAAUUUCAUCUAAAGCUAAAUAUUGGCCGGAGACCGAUAGCGCACAAGUAGAGUGAUCGAAAGAUGAAAAGCACUUUGAAAAGAGAGUUAAAAAGCACGUGAAAUUGUUGAAAGGGAAGCGUUUGCGACCAGACUCGCCUACGGGGUUCAGCCGGCUUUCGGGCCGGUGUACUUCCCCGUGGGCGGGCCAGCGUCGGUUUGGGCGGCCGGUCAAAGGCCCUCGGAAUGUAACGCCUCUCGGGGCGUCUUAUAGCCGAGGGUGCCAUGCGGCCUGCCCGGACCGAGGAACGCGCUUCGGCUCGGACGCUGGCAUAAUGGUCGUAAACGACCCGUCUUGAAACACGGACCAAGGAGUCUAACAUCUAUGCGAGUGUUCGGGUGUCAAACCCGUGCGCGCAGUGAAAGCGAACGGAGGUGGGAACCCUUUGGGUGCACCAUCGACCGAUCCAGAAGUCUUCGGAUGGAUUUGAGUAAGAGCAUAGCUGUUGGGACCCGAAAGAUGGUGAACUAUGCCUGAAUAGGGCGAAGCCAGAGGAAACUCUGGUGGAGGCUCGCAGCGGUUCUGACGUGCAAAUCGAUCGUCAAAUUUGGGUAUAGGGGCGAAAGACUAAUCGAACCAUCUAGUAGCUGGUUCCUGCC
rnacentral:rRNA from 1 species